CGCAUGUAAACACUCGACAUAUGUGCGGCCAGGGCCGGCUCACUGCUGGAGGUCCGACGAAGAUUCCUACCGAAACGAAAGUACAGAUGCGUUUCUUGACUGUUGCAAUUGAUGAUUAGUGAUGCCAGACUGAGGACGUCGCGUUUUACGUAAAAGUCGAAUGAAGAGCCUCGAAUUUAGGAAGGAGACAUAUAUAUGUGCACCCCAAGCAAAGCAAUUAUUAUAAACAAAAUAUACAACUUUGUUUUUUCAAGAAAUAAAUAAAAUUCAUAUUGUAAAUUAUACUGGUAUUUUUUUUUCAAUUGAAAUUAUGAGCUGUCUUUAUUUUACACACGCAAAAAUAAA